UACGUAGGUGGCUAGCGUUGUCCGGAUUUACUGGGCGUAAAGAGCGCGCAGGCGGUCGUUCAAGUCGAGUGUGAAAGCCCCCGGCUCAACUGGGGAGGGUCAUUCGAUACUGUCCGACUCGAAGGCAGGAGAGGGAAGCGGAAUUCCCGGUGUAGUGGUGAAAUGCGUAGAUAUCGGGAGGAACACCAGUGGCGAAGGCGGCUUUCUGGCCUGUUCUUGACGCUGAGGCGCGAAAGCCAGGGGAGCAAACGGG
rnacentral:rRNA from 1 species